rnacentral:lncRNA from 1 species
CUAACAGUUAAGCUGAAUUUUGCACUUCAAACUUUUGGAAUAGACUGAGAAAACUAUAGUAAUACAUGGCAAAUUAAAAUAAGAUACUCUGUUCCUGGUCGAGUGUACAAAUCAUGGAAAUUCUGAAUUUAUCAAAGCCAAAAUUUCAAUUUUCUUUGCCCACAAUAUCCUCUGAGUGGAAUCCUUUCCAAAACAACUGAGUGAUGCUAACGAAGAGUUCUACCUCCCAUUAGAGGUAAAAGUUUUUGUUUUGUUUUGUUUUUCCUGUUUUACUGAAUAAACUAUGCUACUUUCUUUUGUAGCUGUACAAGCCUGAAGUUCUCUACAGGAUAUCUGGGUAGAAAGGGUAGCAUCCUCCAAUUCUGGAGCAACCGAAUUGGGACAUACAGAAGCAGGCAACUUACCAUAGUUCUUGUUACUAACCUUUCUGAAGAAGUAGUGAUCUGCAACCAUGUCUGCUUGGCUCAGUCCUCAGUAAGACACAUGAAACUCAGACAUAGCCAAAGGAGCAGAAUAGUGAAAUCAUCACUCUAAUGCUUUCCUUAAGG